rnacentral:lncRNA from 1 species
CUGGUCUCUCUUGCCUCCUGCAGGGCUGGUGAAUUACCAGAUCUCCGUCAAGUGCAGUAACCAGUUCAAGUUGGAAGUGUGUCUUUUGAAUGCAGAAAACAAAGUCGUGGACAACCAGGCUGGGACCCAGGGCCAGCUGAAGGUGCUGGGUGCCAACCUCUGGUGGCCGUACCUGAUGCACGAACACCCCGCCUACCUGUACUCGUGGGAGAUGGUGAUUGCUCACACCAAAGCCUUGGACCCCUCCCAGCCUGUGACCUUUGUGACCAACU